rnacentral:rRNA from 1 species
UACGUAGGGGGCUAGCGUUGUCCGGAAUCAUUGGGCGUAAAGCGCGUGUAGGCGGUCCGGUAAGUCCGCUGUGAAAGUCGGGGGCUCAACCCUCGGAUGCCGGUGGAUACUGUCGGGCUUGAGUACGGAAGAGGCGAGUGGAAUUCCUGGUGUAGCGGUGAAAUGCGCAGAUAUCAGGAGGAACACCAAUUGCGAAGGCAGCUCGCUGGGACGUUACUGACGCUGAGACGCGAAAGCGUGGGGAGCAAAUAGG